ACGCUCGACACCUACGGGAGGCAGCAGUGGGGAAUAUUGCACAAUGGGGGAAACCCUGAUGCAGCAACGCCGCGUGAAGGAAGACGGUUUUCGGAUUGUAAACUUCUGUUCUUAGUGAAGAUAGUGACGGUAGCUAAGGAGCAAGCCACGGCUAACUACGUGCCUGCAGCCGCGGUAAUCUGAGGCGGGCUGGCAAGGC
rnacentral:rRNA from 1 species